rnacentral:tRNA from 1 species
UCCCUGAUGGCUCAGACGGUAAAGCAUCUGCCUGCAAUGCGGGAGACCUGGGUUUGAUUCCUGGGUCGGGAA